GACCUGUGUGAGAGUACUUGGAGCAGUGACUGCCAUCUGGUGGCAAGCUAAAAUCAUCGCUUUGUGUGACCUAAUUGUUGCUAAGAUGUCCACUCUUCACUCAUGUGGUCUGCAUUGGCAGCCGGGGACCAGGAGAGCCUGGAAGGUGUCUGAUGUAGGAGCCUAGUGAAAUAACUCUCCACUUCCACCUGAAUGGGUUGUUCAUCCCAGAUUCUGACCCAGGAUCCAGCCCCGGAAUGGCACCUCUGAAGGAAAGAUCUGAGUUGCUGUUGUGUUUUAGUCAAAGAUCUGCUGGUUACCUACCAGUGGGUAACCAAGACUGCGAAUAGGCACAUACCAAGAGGGGCAUAUGAUGACAUGGAGCCUGAAAUAAACUGCUCUGAAUUGUGUGACGGUUUUUCUGGUCAGGAGCUGGAACGUAGACCCCUUCAUGAUCUCUGCAGAACUACAAUUACCUCUUCCCACCACAGCAGUAAGACCAUUUCUUCAUUAUCUCCUGCCCUCUUGGGUAUUGUUUGGACUUUCCUAAGCUGUGGACUUCUCCUCAUCGCCUUCUUUCUUGGCUUCACAAUUCGCUGCAGGAAGAACAGGAUUGUGAAGAUGUCCAGUCCCAAUCUGAACAUUGUGACCUUAUUGGGCAGUUGUCUGACUUACAGUAGUGCUUACCUCUUUGGGAUUCACAAUCAAGGUGCUUUAGUGGGAAGUUCAAUGGAAACUCUCAUUCAGAUAAGACUCUCCAUGUUGUGCAUUGGAACCUCCCUGGUAUUUGGCCCCAUUCUUGGGAAGAGCUGGCGACUCUACAAGGUGUUUACCCAGAGGGUUCCGGACAAGAGAGUGAUAAUCAAAGACCUGCAGCUUCUGGGGUUGGUGGCAGCCCUGGUGAUAGCUGAUGUGAUCCUGCUCAUGACUUGGGUGCUGACUGAUCCCAUCCAGUGUCUCCAGAUUCUCAGUGUCAGUAUGACGGGUCUGCUGCUGCUAUAUGGGGCCUACCUGGCUGGCCUGACUGACCACGUCAGCUCUCCUCCUGUAAAUCAGUCUUUAACCAUCAUGGUUGGGGUCAACCUCGUGGUACUGGCUGCUGGGCUGCUUUUUGUGGUCACCAGAUACCUGUACUCCUGGCCCAACCUAGUUUUCGGACUCACGUCUGGAGGUAUCUUUGUUUGCACAACCACAAUCAACUGCUUCAUCUUUAUUCCCCAGCUGAAGCAAUGGAAGGCAUUUGAAGAUGAAAACCAAACAAUCAGACGCAUGGCCAAAUAUUUCAGCACUCCCAGCAAAAGCUUGCACACCCAGUAUGGUGAGGAGCAGAAUUGCCACAUUAGAGGAGAGAAAAACUCCAUGGAGAGACUCCUCACAGAAAAAAAUGCUGUGAUUGAAAGCCUGCAAGAACAAGUAAACAAUGCCAGAGAGAAGCUGGUGAGACUGAUGUCAGCAGGGUGCUCCUCUGACCUCCCAGAGGAGGCUGUGCCACCUGCCUCUUCCCACCAUAAGGACAUCCUGGCCGCAGCCUCUGCCCAUAGCCUGGCACCUCAAGGGCCUUCAGAAUGCCUCUCUGACUCUCAGAAUGAUACCAGUGUGGCCACCCAGGACCCCCAGAGUACCUCAGUGCUGGCCUCAAGUGUAGAAGGCCUCAAGGGGCCUGUGAAGGACACCAGCCCCUCCACAGGGCAGAAGCAGAAAAUUUCUGACCUGAAAGACCUUUCUAAUCCUUUACAUUUGGGCUGCAGCCAGAAGCCAUGGGCUGAGCAAAGCCAGACUGCAGAAAGAAGAGACCAGGUACCCAUGGCCCUCCACCAGUGUCUCAUGCAAAGUGAAGAAGGCUCUGUUCCCCAGAGACAUGGGCAGGUAGAGAACUCAGAAGGGCCCCCAGAGCAACUGUCAAGAGUCAAUUCAGUGAUCAGGGAGAAACUUCAGGAAGUCCUCCAAGAUCUGGGCCUGGGCCCUGGGGCUCCCCUCCCCUCUUCCUUGUCUUGUCCCCAGCAGCCCUGGAAAAGCAACGCUGCCCACAGCCCCCAGAAGGUGCCCCUCUCCAAGGAGCCAGGCUUCAGCCCCUCCAUGGUGAGGAGAAGGCGGGCGGCACAGCGGGCUUGCUCACACUUUCUAGGCGCUGUACCCUCCUAUGUGGGGCAUCGGGUAAACAGGGUCAUUACUGGGCAAAAUGUACAGGACAGGGACAGCCCCUGCCUGGACCCCCAAACUGCUGAUCCCAGGGUAGCACGACCCUCUUCUGGGAAUCCGUUAGUACUCCCUGCUCCUCGAGGCAAGCCAGGCGCCCUAGAGGGCCGCACACAGCGCCAGGCAGAGCCCCAGGGAGCCGAACGGAGCCUCACAUCCUUUCCCCAAAAGUCUUCCGGUUCUGGCCGGAAGCUGUGUCCCGCUACCCCACGCCCAUCCAAGGCCUCCCCCGACCUGCCUGGGCAGCGGCAGUCCCCAGGGUCCCCAGGCUGCCCCUCCUUGUCUUCUCCGAGUAGCUACCUUGACACCGAAUCCAGCAGCUCAGACGAGCUCUUCUGCCGCUGCCACCGGCCCUACUGCGAGAUUUGCUUCCAGAGCUCCUCUGACUCCAGUGACAGUGGCUCGUCAGAUACCGACCCUGAACCUGCAGGGGCGCUGGCUUCCUGGGAAAAGCUGUGGGCCCGCUCGAAGCCUAUCGUGAACUUCAAAGAUGAUUUGAAACCCACACUGGUGUGAUCAGCAGAGCAAGUCUGGACCUAGGGCUCUGUCGGGAUAAGCCAUAGCGUGGCCCGCUCUGGCCUUCAGGGAACAGACCAGUGCCUUUCCCGCGUUCGUGCGCUCAGUUGAGCACCAUGGUACCUUGAGCACUUCCUGAUAUACACAGAGGGAUAUUGCCUGUUUUGUUACUACCUCACAGCAUUCCUGUAAGAGACUCCAGCUGAGUGCCCAUAAAAGAUACCCGUUAGAUAAAACGGUGCUAAAUGAGCACAAAGGGUCUUUUGUUCUGGUCAGCCUGUAAUGUACAAAACUCUAUAUAUACCAGAUGGAUGGGCUGGGUGGACAGACAGAUGCAGAAGUGGAAAGAAAAUUUCUGCAGAACCAGAGUUGUGGACUGUAAUUCAUCAAAUUGGCUUUUUGGUGGCCAACCUGCUAAGAAAAUAUCUCCUAUGGACUUAGAUGGUCCACUCUCGGCAGGGGAUGGUUUGUUUCUGCUCAAGAUUGCGAACAGCACCACCUCUUCGUCCCAGCUUCCAGUCAGACUCAUUUCAGAGCCACCUGUACAUCUCUAUUUUGUGUCCAUCUCUUCACACCAUUGUGGCACCAUGAGACAGUCAGGCAGCCCAGAUCUCUCUCCUGGGCGCGGACGGCACCUGAGUCACCCCUCUUCUUUGACCCUGCCAGUGGUGCAGUUUUGCGGUAGUGAGAAGUAUGUAUUGGCAAUCCCUGUUUAGGUUGGAGAGGCCCUAUUGGUCAAGAGGGUGCCAACUGGGCCAACAUGACCACUGAUGGCUACACUGACCUGGAAAUAGAAAACAGGAAAAUAGAAAGGAAGAAAUGGGGGAGAAGAUAAGAAAACAAAAAAAAAAACAGAUUUUGCACAUUUACCUUGAGUCUAGCAUGGUACUUGGAAAUAUAAAGUAUCAGUAAUUGCUUAUGAUAAUCCCGUGAAGUAGGUACUCUCAUCCCCAUUUUACAGGUGGGGAUUAUGAGGCUUAAGAGGAAGGAGGUAGCUUCCACAGCAUCACACUGCUGGAGAGGGGCCCAUGUGGAAGCUGGGCACAGCUCACAGGAUUCCAAGUGCACACACUUCCCUGGGGCACAUCUCUUCACUUGUUCCUCUGGGAGUGGCAGGCCGAGUGUGGCAGGCUGGACAGCGAAAGUAGCAUGGGAAGCUGCAGCGUGCUCAACCCGCAGUCCAGGAUGACAACACUGGGCUCCUCGCCUCAGUAAGCAGGCCGCCACUGCCUUGGGAGCCCACCCACACCUCCCACAGCAGCCGGGGAGCUGGUGAGAGAUAAGUACCAGGGUCUUGUCGGCUGCCAGAGCCAACAGAGAAAACACAGCUGGGUCCACUUCACUUGUUGCUGAGCUAGUUGUUUACAGGCUGGUCCCUGCCCCUCACCUGUGUGUAUAUCCGCAUGUGUACACAUGCUUGUAUGCAGGAGCAUGGGCCUCAUUAGAUACGUCCAGAGGGGAGCAUUUGCCUCUAAUGUCUUGCAGAAGAUGUUAUCAUGGACUCUCGUUGGCUGCUGACACCUUGUGAGUCUCCAGACACUGGACCAGGAGGCCCUCCAGGCAACACAGCUUCUUCUGUUGUCCACUUUUAAAUACAAAUAUCAUAAUUUAUUCUGCGUGUGGGCUUGAAGUUUCUGCUUGUGCUGUUUGUAUGCUGUCCAAGUGAUGCCUUAAUAAAAGAAAUGGUUCUCAAGGCA
rnacentral:lncRNA from 1 species